UGGGUCGACCCAAGUACUGUUCAUCCGUGCCAUUUUUGCAGAAGUGUGCCAGAUGAUUUCUUGAUGUGCCGGGGUCGACUCAAUCAAUCUUGGGGUCGACUCAAUCCACACUUUGCUGCAACUAAAGGUUAGAUUCAUCCAUAUAAUCAAUGAAAUAACCUUUAAACAAUUUUGAAUAUAUGUCAUGGUAGUGCUACAUACUCCAAACAAUGAAAAUUACUAUUGUCUACUUAAGAGUAUGUUUCACUUGAAACUUUGCCAAAUUAGAAUUUAGAGUUCACUAUCCCUU
rnacentral:lncRNA from 1 species